CGUUGUGUAAAAGAUGGAGCAACUUAUUCUCAGUCCCACACUGCUCGGAUUGAAAUUAUAGGUUAUUCUUUCUUUAAACAAAGUUGUGGUCUCAGUUACAUUCACUAAACUCCUACAGCUCAUUUCAACAGCCAGCGCAGAUUGUAACAGGUGACAAGCCGGGAAAAAACUGAAAAUGUCGGCCUUAACAGAACAACAGAUGGAGGAGCACAACAGGAUAUUCCCACUAAGAGGAUUCCUGUUUCUUUGCCUGUCACUGUGGACUUUUUUUUGCAGGCAUAAAGUCUUUCAUCGUAACCCAGCUCGACUGGCUCACUGGACCUGAUGUAGAGUUGCUGGAUAAGCCCUGCGAAACCCGCUAGUAUGCAUGUUGACCUGCUUGGCAAAUAAAGAACCCUGACGGAGUGCGCCGUGAAUAACAUUGAAUUAAUGACUCAGGUGGGAUUAGAAAGUCCCGGUUGUAUCUUGAAUCCCUUAACUGCAAUCUCUUGCUCACAACUCAAAGGUACGUGCCAGGAGUCUGUGUUUGAGUGGCCAGGUGUCAGAUUUCAUUCUAUUUUUAGAAUGAAAUUAUUACUGUUACAGAGGCACUUUUUGUUCAAUUAACACAGACAGUAACUAAUUUUAAAUUGGAAACAGUUUUAAAGAUAGGUCAAAAUUUCAAUUAUUUUAAUAUAACCAUAUAAAAUGAAUACAAUUCUGAUGAGUCUUAAAGUACCUAAAAAAUGAAAAUCAGUUUUUAGUUACAAAGUUUAUUAAAAAAGCAAUAGACUGUAUUUUUUUUAAAAAACAUGAUGUCUUUGUUCAAAAUCUGACCUCUGUUGGAGGAACCAGAGUCUGCGAUGCAAGCAAAUACAGUUCAGUUUGGAAACUUUGAUUCAGUCUAUAAAAAUUUCACAUCAUUCAUGAAAUAUUUACAGAACUUUUCUUCCCAUCGCUGAUAAUGUUUGUUAGAAAAGUGCAGUAGUUUUUUUCUAUCUUUCACAAACUGCUAAAAAAGAGAAGAGUGUGUUUUGGUCCUUUAUGUUUUCUGUGCAAGGAGGCAGUUUGACAUGUUUUCGCUGUGUGUAUUGCUUCUUACAAUUCAACUCAGGGACUUUUUUUAAUAUGUUUUUGCUGUAAAUGAUUUGUAUAAUGUAUUAGUCAGAAGCUUGUCAUUUGGAAGAUAAAGUAUUUUUUUAUGUUUGUUCAAGGAGGAAAUGCCUUUAAUUCAAAUAGAUUUUCAGAAUCACUGCUCGGUUUCAGGUCUCCAUGCUUUCCUAUUCAUUGCUUGGUCUCGUGUAUCAAUUCAAAUAGAAGUUUAUUAUUAUGGUAUGAUUUACAUUUAGUGAACUUAUUUGAUUAACAUUUCACUCAUUGUUUAUUAAAAAUAUUGUAGUGUUUUUAUGAUUUUGCACACAAAAAAAGCAUUUAAACAUAAAUGAUAGAGCCUGUCAGGCUUGCAGAUUCCAGGAAAGAGCUAAUAAAAACCCUACAUCUAUUUAGUGAUUUUGCGGUGUGUGGAAAGAAAAAAAAUGGUUAAUUUAAUUUGGUUUCUGCAGAAUUUUACCACUUUAUUGUGGUUUCUUUGUGCUAACCUCAACCUUGGGAGGAAACGGGGUGAGAAACUGUGAAUCUCCAGGGGGAGCCUUUAUAUUUGGUCUUGUAUUUUUUUGAAAAUGAAAUUACAUUGCAACCUGAUCUGUUUCAGACCUCGGUGUGUUUUUUUAAAUUUCUUCCUGUAGGCUCAAGAAAGAGUGUUUAUUUUUCAUAAAGACUCUCUUACUGGCCUCUGUAUUCCUUAUCAUUUGAAUAUCUGACAUAUUAUACCAUAGCAGAAAGUACUUUCCUGUAUAUGUUGUAGCAUGUCAGUGCAGAGUAAACCAGAUGGUUUUACAAGAUUUGAUACACUUUAUGCCAUAAUCACAUGAUCUGUGUGCUUUGAGGUGUUCUUGGUGUAAUUUUAAAUCAUUAAGUAAACAUGUUUUCUGCAGAUAA